rnacentral:rRNA from 1 species
GACGAACGCUGGCGGCGUGCUUAACACAUGCAAGUCGAACGGAAAGGCCCUGCUUUUGUGGGGUGCUCGAGUGGCGAACGGGUGAGUAACACGUGAGUAACCUGCCCUUGACUUUGGGAUAACUUCAGGAAACUGGGGCUAAUACCGGAUAGGAGCUCCUGCUGCAUGGUGGGGGUUGGAAAGUUUCGGCGGUUGGGGAUGGACUCGCGGCUUAUCAGCUUGUUGGUGGGGUAGUGGCUUACCAAGGCUUUGACGGGUAGCCGGCCUGAGAGGGUGACCGGCCACAUUGGGACUGAGAUACGGCCCAGACUCCUACGGGAGGCAGCAGUGGGGAAUAUGGCACAAUGGGCGGAAGCCGGAUGCAGCAACGCCGCGUGCGGGAUGACGGCCUUCGGGUUGUAAACCGCUUUCGCCUGUGACGAAGCGUGAGUGACGGUAAUGGGUAAAGAAGCACCGGCUAACUACGU